rnacentral:rRNA from 1 species
AUUGAACGCUGGCGGCAGGCCUAACACAUGCAAGUCGAACGAGUGGCGGACGGGUGAGUAAUGUCUGGGAAACUGCCUGAUGGAGGGGGAAAACUACUGGAAACGGUAGCUAAUACCGCCUACCAUCGGAUGUGCCCAGAGGGGAUUAGCUAGUAGGUGGGGUAACGGCUCACCUAGGCGACGAUACCUGUCUGGUCUGGGAGGGUGACCAGCCACAGUGGAACUAAGACACGGUCCAGAAUCCUCCGGGAGGCAGCAGUGGGGAAUAUUGCACAAUGGGCGCAAGCCUGAUGCAGCCAUGCCGCGUGUAUGAAGAAGUCCUUCGGUUUGUAAAGUACUUUCAGCUGGGAGGCGUUACCCGCAGAAUAAGCACCGGCGAACUCCGUGCCAGCAGCCGCGGUAAUAC